rnacentral:rRNA from 1 species
GUGGGGAAUAUUGGACAAUGGGCGCAAGCCUGAUCCAGCAAUGCCGCGUGCAGGAAGAAGGCCUUCGGGUUGUAAACUGCUUUUGUACGGAACGAAACGGUCCGGGUUAAUACCCUGGGCUAAUGACGGUACCGUAAGAAUAAGCACCGGCUAACUACGUGCCAGCAGCCGCGGUAAUACGUAGGGUGCAAGCGUUAAUCGUAAUUACUGGGCGUAAAGCGUGCGCAGGCGGUUUUGUAAGACAGGCGUGAAAUCCCCGGGCUCAACCUGGGAAUUGCGCUUGUGACUGCAAGGCUGGAGUGCGGCAGAGGGAGAUGGAAUUCCGCGUGUAGCAGUGAAAUGCGUAGAUAUGCGGAGGAACACCGAUGGCGAAGGCAAUCCCCUGGGCCUGCACUGACGCUCAUGCACGAAAGCGUGGGGAGCAAACAGGAUUAGAUACCCCAGUAGUCC